rnacentral:lncRNA from 1 species
CAGGAAUAUUUUUAUACAUCCAUUGUCUUUUCUCCUCUGACAUCGUGAUAUCCACUUCUUCAAACUCUAUGCGAUUGGCUUCCAGGAACCUCACCACAUCUUGUUGCCUCUUCUUUAUCGCCACCGAGCCCGAGGAGGAGGCGACGAAGACGCGGAUCACCAUCUUCACCUCAUGAGCCGCACCGCGGCCACGGGACGGGGCGAAGGGCAGCGGGGCGACGGGCAGCACGCCGCGGGGACGCCGCUCCGCCGCUCUGGGACCGGGCGCGCCGCUCCACCGCCGCUCACCCGCGGGCAGCCCCGGCUGGCAGCGCCUCCC